ACAAUGAUACUUCUGUAGCCGAAAGGCGCAGCUCGCGGAGUACCCGGGAGAGGUAAGAGCCUAUGA
ncrna:unclassified sequences pemK RNA